UACGGGGGGGGGUAAGCGUUGUUCGGAAUUACUGGGCGUAAAGGGCUCGUAGGCGGCCAACUAAGUCAGACGUGAAAUCCCUCAGCUUAACUGGGGAACUGCGUCUGAUACUGGAUGGCUUGGAUUCGGGAGAGGAAUGCGGAAUUCCAGGUGUAGCGGUGAAAUUCGUAGAUAUUCGGAAGAACACCAGUGGCGAAGGCGACUCACUGGUCCGGUACUGACGCUGAGGUGCGAAAGCGUGGGGAGCAAACAGG
rnacentral:rRNA from 1 species